UACUCCUACGGGAGGCAGCAGUGAGGAAUAUUGGUCAAUGGACGAGAGUCUGAACCAGCCAAGUAGCGUGCAGGAUGACGGCCCUAUGGGUUGUAAACUGCUUUUAUGCGGGGAUAAAGUUGGGGACGUGUCCCUUUUUGCAGGUACCGCAUGAAUAAGGACCGGCUAAUUCCGUGCCAGCAGCCGCGGUAAU
rnacentral:rRNA from 1 species